AUCAANAAACAUGUCUUUUUGACAAUGAGAUUAAAAAGUCUGGCCUGCCCACUGAAGGAUUGAAGGGCCGCGGUAUUUUGACCGUGCAAAGGUAGCAUAAUCAUUAGUCUUUUAAUUGAAGGCUGGUAUGAAUGGUUCGACGAGGUAUUAGCUGUCUCAUUAUAAUUAAAUUUGAAUUUAACUUUUUAGUCAAAAGGCUAGGAUGAUUUUAGAGGACGAGAAGACCCUAUAGAGCUUUAUAAGUAUAAUUAAUUGAUUAGUUACAGAUGUUUACACUAAUUUAUGGAUUAAUUUAUUUAGUUGGGGUGACUUGAAGAUGAAAGAAACUCUUUGUUUAUAUUAACAUAGAUACAUGGGAUAUUGAUCCGUUUUUAGUGAUUGAAAGAUUAAGUUACCUUAGGGAUAACAGCGUAAUUUUUUUUAAGAGUUCUUAUCAACAAAAAAGAUUGCGACCUCGAUGUUGGAUUAAGGAAUAUUAUUGGGUGUAGAAGUUUAUGAAUAGGUCUGUUCCGACCUUUAAAUCCUUACAUGAUCUGAGU
rnacentral:rRNA from 1 species